rnacentral:rRNA from 1 species
AUGGACGGCGACCGGGUCCGGGCGCGCCGGUGGGCGGACGAGGAGGCGGAGGAGCGGCCGCUGAAGGUGGUGUUCGCGUCGCCGGCGGAGCACUUCACGGACUCGGCGCCGAUCGGGAACGGCAGCCUCGGCGCCAUGGUUUGGGGCGGCGUCGCCUCCGAGAAGCUCCAGCUCAACCUUGACACUCUCUGGAGCGGUGUGCCGGGAGAUUACACCGACCCGAAAGCACCUGCCGCCCUUGCCGCCGUCAGGAAGCUCGUCGAUGAAGGACGGUUUGUGGAUGCCACCAGCGCGGCUUCGGGCCUUUUCGGUGGUCUAACAGAGGUCUACAAACCUCUUGGAGAUAUGAAUCUAGAGUUUGACACAUCCAAUCAGGAGUAUAGUUCCUACAAAAGGGAGCUUGAUCUGCAUACUGCUACCACAAUUAUCACGUACAACAUUGGAGAAGUUCAGUACACAAGGGAGCACUUCUGCUCAAAUCCACACCAGGUCAUUGUUACCAAAAUUUCAGCAAACAAACCAGAACAUGUAUCAUUGACUUUAUCGUUAAAUAGUAAGUUAAACCACAGAGUUCGUGUAAUGAAUGCAAAUGAGAUGAUCAUGGAUGGCACCUGUCCAGUACAAGGACACAAGCUACAAGAAAAUGAAGCCAACGAUGCUACUGGUAUCGGGUUUGCAGCUGUCCUUAGCCUGCAGAUGAGCGGCACUGCUGCAAAAGUAGCAGUUCUAAAUGAUCAAAGUUUGAGAAUUGACAAUGCAGAUUGGGUUCUUUUGCGGGUUACAGCUGCUUCCUCAUUCAAUGGGCCUCUUGUGAAUCCGUCAGACUCAAAACUGGAUCCUGAAUCAGCUGCUCUGAGGGUCAUGAAUAUGAUUAGGAAUCUCACAUUUGAUCAGCUCAAAGCUGCUCAUUUGAAAGAUUACCAGGGUCUUUUUCACCGUGUUAGUCUGCGGCUAUCACAAGCAGCAGCUAUAGAAAAAAUAAACAUGAAAGAAGUUGGUGAUGCCGUCAAGACUACAGCAGAAAGAGUGAAUGGUUUUCGAAGCGACGAGGAUUCUUCUUUGGUUGAACUUCUCUUCCAAUAUGGUCGAUAUCUGCUCAUUUCAUGCUCUCGACCUGGAACACAGAUAUCUAAUCUGCAAGGAAUUUGGAAUCAAGAUCUCUUUCCUGGAUGGGAGUGUGCUCCGCACCUCAACAUAAAUCUUCAGAUGAAUUAUUGGCCAACACUUCCUUGUAACCUUACUGAAUGCCAAGAACCACUACUUGAUUUCAUAGCAUCUCUUGCAGUUAACGGAACUAAGACUGCAAAAAUCAAUUACCAAGCAAGUGGCUGGGUAACUCACCACGUCUCAGACAUAUGGGCAAAAUCAUCAGCUUACAAUGAAGAUGCCAGGUUCUCAGUGUGGCCAAUGGGGGGUGCCUGGCUUUGUACGCAUCUUUGGGAGCACUACCAGUAUUUAUUGGACAAAGACUUUUUGAAGAACACUGCAUAUCCAUUGUUGGAAGGAUGUGCGCUGUUUCUGACUGAUUGGUUGAUUGAGGGACCUCGAGGUCUUUUGGAAACAAACCCCUCUACUUCUCCCGAGCAUGUUUUCAUUGCUCCAGGGAGUGGUGGUCAGCAAGCUAGUGUAAGCUAUUCAACUACAAUGGAUAUCGCAAUCAUCCGAGAGAUAUUCUCGGCAGUCAUUUCUUCUGCAGAGAUUUUAGGAAAAUCUGAUACUCCUCUGGUCCAGAAGAUCAAGGAAGCGCUUCCAAGGCUCCCUCAGAAUACGAUUGCUGAAGAUCAAACACUCAUGGAAUGGGCACAAGAUUUUAAGGACCCUGAAGUUACCCAUCGGCACCUGUCACAUCUCUUCGGUCUUUAUCCUGGUCAUACUAUAACCAUGCAGAGAAAUCCUGAGAUUUGCGAAGCUAUUUCUAAUAGUCUUCACAAACGAGGGGAAGAUGGACCUGGAUGGUCAAGCACGUGGAAGAUGGCUUUGUGGGCGCGCCUUCUUAACAGCGAAAAUGCAUACAGAAUGAUCCUAAAGUUAAUCACGUUGGCUCCACCUGGUGAAAAAGUUGGGUUCGAAGGAGGACUGUACACCAAUCUGUGGACAGCACACCCACCAUUCCAGAUCGAUGGAAACUUUGGAUUCGCAGCUGCGAUCGCUGAAAUGUUGCUUCAGAGCACUCCCACUGACCUGCAUCUACUGCCCGCGCUUCCACGCGACAAGUGGCCUGAAGGGUGUGUCAAAGGGCUGAGGGCCCGGGGUGACACCACUGUCAGCAUCUUCUGGGAGAAAGGGGAGCUCCAGGAAGCAGUGCUGUGGUUUAACAACAGAAACAAUUCAGCUUUACGGUUGCAUUAUGGCGGGCAAGUUGCCGAAGCCACAGUGGAAGCUGGUCACGUUUACAGGUUCGAUGGGUUUUUACAGUGUGUCGAGAUAUGGCCCCUUGACAAAUGCCCAUUUUAA